rnacentral:rRNA from 2 species
GGUUGCAAAAGAAGUAGGUAGCUUAACCUUCGGGAGGGCGCUUACCACUUUGUGAUUCAUGACUGGGGUGAAGUCGUAACAAGGUAACCGUAGGGGAACCUGCGGUUGGAUCACCUCCUUACCUUAAAGAAGC